GGGUAAAGGGAAUGUGAAUUGAUUUGAGUAAAGGUUCAAGAUAACCUAGUUAUAGGUCAUGGAUAGAAAUAAUAGGAUGCUGCCAUGACUCAGAACAGUACUCUCACACAAGAAAGGGUCAAAGGGAAGGGGACUGACAUACAGAACAUUCAUAGAAGCACAAGAAAAGCAUAACAGACUAAGGGUGCAGAAUCAUAGAGAAAGAGGCAGGGCAGACAUAGGGCAAGAAAGCAUAAAGUAAACACAUAGUGAGAAUGCAUAAGAGGAGAGAAGGAAUAAACACACAGUUAGGAGGGUUUUAUUUAACUAGAAAUACAUACCAAUUGCAAUAUUUUAGUACAGCAGAACAAGUAAAAGUAAGUAAUCAGCCAGAAAGUUAGCAAGAGCAAACUCAAAACCUUCAGCAAGUAUUUGAGAGUUCAAGAGGAAACAAGGAGUAU
rnacentral:lncRNA from 1 species